GCGUAGCCGUGGCUUCACGUGUACAGUAAUGAAACGGUGCGUUUCAAAUUCAGUUAGGUUGAACACAACACUCCCUUCAUCUACCCACAGAGCAGAGCAAGCUUCCCCAUAGACGACCGCCAAACACGAGGACGAUUACAGGUACAGUUCCCAAACAACGUCCAAUAUGGCUACAACCACCCAGCCCAGUCAUCCAAGUAACGAGCAAGAAUGACGAAACCAACAAACUUUCACAGCAAACACCAAUCCCCAACUCCGAAAAACAAAUUAAUGAAUUCAAUAAUCGCCUGUGAAUGUGCAACAAUAGCCUUUCCUCUAAUCUGAUUGAAGCGUUUCUUGCCAAUGAUGUUACGAGUAACAACAACAAUCUGCGCAAAGACCCUUUCCUUCAUUGACAUUCUUUAUCAUGGGUCGCGCCCUCACCGGCUUUCCAUUGUAGUAGCUGACUUGACAAUUAAAAAAAAAAAAAAAAAAGAGCCCUAAUUUCUAUUACAAUGCGAGGAACUCUCUCUCUCUGUUCAUUUCUUUUCCACAGGUGGUGGCCAAAAACUUGGAUUCCUUCAUUUUUACUUACAAAAAGGAAUAACAUUUCAUUACAAGAAGUCAAAGAUGUAGAAAGAUGGAAACAAAAACCGCAUACAACCAGGGCGAGGGCACUCUCUCUCUUAGAAAAAAUUUCUUCGACAGUACUCAUCUACAAAUGACGUAGCUGUUUUUCUGCAUUUUUCUUGUUGGGUUUGAGCUGUUUCUGCAAUUUUGGUUUUUUCUUUUUUUAAAUAGAUCUGCUGACGAUUCCCCCAAAGGUACCCAAUCCUGGCUACCUGUAGAAAAACUGAUAUAUAUAUAUAUAUAAAUAUAUAUCUUUUUUC